rnacentral:lncRNA from 1 species
AUGCUUGGAUUUAUAUUUAUGCAAAUCUUUAUAUUUUAUUUAAAUCUACUGAGAUAUAUUUUUAUUAUAUUUGACUAUAUGGGAUUCUAUUAUGUUUUGGGUUCAUCACACUAAGCGAAAUUAAUCUUUUUACUUAUGUCUUGAAACCUAUUUGACAUACGAAUUUGCAUGUCUUGUCUUAACUUUUGGAAGCCUUAUUUUAUUUGGUUUCGUAUGACCAUAACUUGGGAAUGACCCAACUUUAAUUUAUGUCAUUUUAUGUUAUUAUGUGUAUUAUUGGAUAAUGAACCCAACAACUAAUUGUUUAAUGACAUACAUAAUGAAUUAUUAGCCUAAUUUACAUAAAUAUUUCAUUUCUGGCCCAAAGGUGUUAUGUUAUAUUUAUGUGUUUUACCUUAUUGUGUAUGUAUGUUCAUCAUGAUACAUGAAUUUUGGUCAAACCAAAGCGAAGCCAGAGUUCAUGUAGAACACUAAAGACGGUCUAUUAUUUAUAUCGUUCA